rnacentral:misc_RNA from 1 species
GAUGAAGAACGUAGCGAAAUGCGAUAAGUAAUGUGAAUUGCAGAAUUCAGUGAAUCAUCGAAUCUUUGAACGCACCUUGCGCCUUUUGGUAUUCCGAAAGGCACACCUGUUUGAGCGUCAUGAAUACCUCAAUCUCCAUCUUUUCUUCGGAUUGAUGGGUGACUUGGAUGUUGAGCCCUGCUGGUAUGCUAUAUCAGCUGGCUUUAAACUUAUUAGCCGGCUCUGUACUGGAUCGGUUUGACUCGACGUGAUAAUAUUAUCGUUGAGGAUGCAUGUCUCAUGCAGCCGGAAAGUAUCAAAGCAGCUUCUAGCUUGCCUUUAGUGCACUUUUACAUUUUAGACCUCAGAUCAGGUGGGACUACCCGCUGAACUUAAGCAUAUCAAUAAGCGGAAGA